CAGUUUGCAGCUUACAGUAAAAAUAGAACACCUUCAUAUUUUCUGAUCUGUCUGCACAAGUUUUAUGAUCUAAGAAAAGCAAAUUUUAAUAUCAUAAUUUCAGUUCCUGAAUUGAAGAAACACUAAGGAUAAUGAACUAGAUCCCAGACCACUGUCACUGUGGCUAUCAUCUCAUGACACAACAUACCCUGUGGCACUGUCCUGUGCAGAAGCACAGACAAAUAUAGAAGCCUCAUUCAUCCUGUUCAGAAGCACUCACUGAAAAUAAGUCAGAUGAAUCACAACUUUAAAGAGUCUCAUUAUCUUUGCUGACAAGGAGACUAAGGAAGAUGUUUGAAGUUUGUACUACAUGCCUGUAAUGCUGGUGAGCUCAUCUUUAUUUCUUUAUUUUAUUUACACUAUUGAGCCUUGAUUUGGACAGCUAACUUCUUCCUCACAGAGCUAACACAGACGGGAUGGAUGGAUCAAAUGGGUAAGCAGAGCCUUCCAAAUCUUUUUCACAGUUUAGACAGGAGAAGAGGUUGCUGAGAUGGUACUGUGCUCCAUCCAAGUGUGAUGCUGAAUACUUUUCAUAAAGCAGUAUAGAUCAUAUUUUUUAUAGACCAGUUUCCUGAGCGAUCUUUCUGGUAUUUGUAUUCUUCUUCCUGCCUUAUCAGCCCUUUCUAUCUACUCUCCAAGCUGUGUCCUUUAUUCCCAUCUCAGCACUGGUGAGGCAGCACCUCCGAUGCCAGACAUCUGCAAUGCCUCCAAAUAAUGGGAAGAGGAAUCCCAGCUUCUCCUCUUAGUGAAAACGUUUUCUUGAGGAAAGAGCUCAGUCUCUGAUCCAACCAAUGGCUCAUCUAGAUUCCUGAAAUCACCUUUCAUUUCACAUGAACUUCAGAGAACAUCUGGUUUGAGUGAGCUGAGCAGUACAGUUGGCUAUCAGUGUAUGAUACUAAAGCAUAUAUUAGCUUUCUAGGCAAUUUCAGUAUUUUUCAAAGAAAUGGGAUUCCUUCCCAAGUUAUAUGCACUGUCAGAUCUGCCAUUAUGAGCACUUGUAAGUCUCUGUCCUGUACAGUUUGUCAUCACACUGUUUCUAAUCUUGGUCUUUGAAAUGGAGACCUCAGUUGAAAUUUUUUAUGUAUCGCUAAUUUUUCUCAAGCAACCUGAAAUAAAUUGUCAGCUGUGCACAUAUUUCAGUUCUGCUCUUGUUGCGUAUGGCAGCAUGUUAGCACAGAAAUUUUUACAGCAUGUGCUGAACGUUUCUGGGACCUUCAAAGAAUUCCUUAAAUUUAAUACUAUAUUGUACUUGAAUCAUGUCACCUCCUGCAAUAUACUGGCCAAGCUUCUCAUGAGCAAGUCCAUUUUAUAAAACAUUUCCUUCCAACUUGGGGGAACUUUUGUACUGUAGAAAAUCAUGACCAUCAUUAAAAAAUUAUUCACAGAGCUUUCAUAGAAGCAACAGAGCUUUCACAGCAGCAAUAUACCAGGCACCAAAUCACAGGCAACACACUUGGUAACACACACUGUUACAAUCUACUUACUCCCUCCAGAAGCAGGUGGGGAGAAGUUGCCAGCACAUUCUGAUGCAGUGCAAUUUUGUCUGUGCAGAUCCUGUGCUAGACUGCCUCCAGCAUGAUCUGGAUCCCAGCAACUACAGCGAGUACCUCUUGCAGACAGCACUGCUAGUGCAUCAACCCCAUUAUCCAGGGGCACUUGCCAAUGUCCACCUUUGGUUCUGAGCCCUGAAGAUAUUUCUACUUUUGCCUAGUCAGGCAUAGAUAAUAAGAGCUUUGUUGAAGCUGCUAGAGUCUGCUCUGUGAAAACACAUGGCUUGUCUCACUUCUCCGAGGCUAUUAUGAUGCCAUUCCACCAGUGGGAUCAAGUGCCUUUUACAAAAUAUCAGGAUACUCAAAAAAAAAAAAAAAAAAAAGCAAUUAUUCCUAAAAUGCAGCUAGAUGCAGCUAGGUCCACUUAUUUUAGCCCAUGGGCACCUGAGAUAAACAUAGGCUGAUUCAGACAUAAUAUAGUACAGUUAUAAAGCUGAAGAAUAUUUCUCAAGCAUUCCUGCCAAACACCACCUCUGACUAGGAGCCAAAGGAGGACUUAGAUUUGAGAUUCUUCUCUCUGGCACAUUCCAGUAAAUGCAAACAGCUGUCCACAAACACAUUUUCAAAACUGAAUGAAGACACAUUGCUAUAAACUUGUCCAUUGUAUAAAAUAGCUAGCAUGCAUCCAGCUAGCAAUCUCAAAACCACAGUAUUUUGCUCAUUUUUGCAAAAUGUAAAAUUUUAAACAGUAAUUCAUUUUAUUUUGUUUACAAAUGUUAAUUUUGUGUAGGAUGUACUAACCACUAAUUAUAUUAGUAUUUCUGAAAAUGCUUGUAAUGUUUCUGUUCUUAAAGUAAAGCCUAAUCAUGUGUGCAAAUGCUGAACAUGAUUACCUGCUUUUCCAUUCUAACGUGGAAAAGAAAACCACAACUUUUUCCAUAUCCAGUAAGUACAUUUGCUUGAAAAGUCUUUUUCUGUUGGGGAAGAAUCACUCAAGACAUUGGUAAAACAUGAGUUUGAAAAAACAUUGCUUGAAAGUAUUCUUAUUAUCUCUUAUUGAAAAGGAAUGGAUGAGCAUUUACUUUGAGAUACUUGGGAUUCUUCGUUAUUUGAUACAUAUCCAAUAAGUUCUGGAAAAUUCCUGAAAGUAUCAUGUAUGUAUCACAAUUUGCAGAAGAUGUAAUUAGAUCUCAAGAGAAGCUGCAAGCUAUGAAACAAGAGAGGUAAUAAAUGAAUGAAAAUAGGAGCCUGGAAAAGUUGUGAGACAUGAAAAGAGGACGGAUGGUUUGGUGCAGGCCUUAGAAAUGAAACAAGAGUCAUAGAAUGUAGGGAGAAGAGAAAUGGUCUUAGCAUUGAGUGUUCAAAUACUGCUUUUAUGGUGUUGAGAGGCAGGGAUUGCACUGCAAACACCCACUGAAGGAACCUCUCCUAACAUGAAGUCUGCUUUUUUACAGGCUAAGUAUAGUCUCCAUUCUAUUUGUGGCCCCUAGCAAAGUGUUAGGGCACUUAACAGAAAGCACUGAGACUACUGAAAAAUGUGAUAAUCUCUCGUGGAGCCCAAGUCUGGGUGCAAGAGGUGAGCAUCCUGCCCCAGCAGGCACUCUGUCCUGACUCUCUUCUUCCCAUAGGCCACUGCUAAUCCUGGUCAGGGCUGUUUCUGAAAUCCCAACUGGAGCAGACCCAUUCACCAGGUGACAAGCUUGUGUAAGGCAACUACGGGAAGACGUUUAAACCCAAAUCAAUACAUAAACAUUUCAAUAAAGAUAAAAAACAAUCAUUGCCAAUUUGUUAAACAGUCCAACAGUUAGUACAAUACUUCACUUAUAAAACUAACAUUUGAAAAUCUGUCUAUUUUCAUUUGGUUAAAAAAAAAAAAGAACAAAAGCAAAUGCAAACCAAACCCAGAUGCAAAUGCAAGGAUAGUUUAAAAGAACAAUCUUUUACAAGAAUCUAGAAAUAUUUCAUUACAAAACCUGAAAAUAGUGUUAGUGACACCCAACUGUCCUGUCUCCUGACAGUUUCCACCACCGACAUUUAGACAAAAUAUAAGCCAAGAUCUAAAAACUGUAAAUCAUGGAGAAAGCUCUACGUACCACGCAGACUGCACCUUAUAGCUCCUGGAUGUGCCACUGGGAAAUCAACUCCUCACUCUCAUCCACACUAACAGUAAGAGGCACUCCAUUUUUCUCAAGACACAGAACUGUACAAUCACCACGACUGGAAAAGAUUAUCUAGUCCAAACGUCCACCUACCACCAAUUUUUCCCCUCUAAACCAUGUCCCUUAGUACAAUGUCUAAACACUUCUCAAACAUCUCCAGGGACUGUGAGUCAACCAUUUUCCUGGGCAGGCUGUUAAAAUACCUCAUCACUCUAUUGGGGAAUAAAUUUUUCCUAAUAUCCAACCUGAAUCUCCUCUGGUGCAACUUGUCCUAUUGCUGUUACCUGGGAGAAGAGGCCAACCCUACUCACCACAAUCUCCUUUCUGAGAAUUCUAGAGAGUUGCAAGGUCUGCCCUGAGAUUCCUUCAGACUAACAAUCCCAAUUCCCACAGCAGCUCCUCAUAAGAUUUGUGUUCCAGACCCCUCAUCAGCCUUACUGUCCUCCUCUGGACAAGCUCCGGGGCCUCUAUGUCUUAUUACACUAUUCCCCAUUCAACACUUUGUGAUGGUGUAGAUUGGAGGUGCAAAACACACUCAACCAGGUAAGUUAGGUCUGUGUCCUGCUGGUAGACUAAAAUAACCAAGCUUCCCAAAAGAGCUGCUAGGGCACAGCGAGCUGCAUCACCAGCCUUGGGCCUGCCACUCAUCUCUUCUCUUUCCCUGCACUUGGGUUUUGCACUCAGAGUGGCUGGGCAGAGAGGGAGAACCCAAAGUGACUGACUGUCAGAAACUGCUGCAUGACAGAAUGAUGCAGUUCAGUGCAGGUAAAUUGGGAGCUUUAAGGUAGCCCAUUAGAGAUAAGACCUUCUGAGGCAUACAGGUGGAUUUUUUUUUUGUUAACCUUUACAAUAGCAAGCAGUGAUCUUAUACACCAGAAACAGCUUUCUUGAACUGAUGGGCCAGGGAUGCUACUCACUCCCAAAUUCAAAAACAAGGUUUGCCUCUGUGAGCAGAACCCAGAACUGCCCCACAUCAGACCAGAGCCAGCUCCAGCUGCUCCAAAAGCAAAUUCCUGCUGCCAGAGCUGAGCUGUGAAUGAUGCUGGGUGCAGCUCUAGGAGAGCAGACCGAAAACAAGGAAAAACUGCAGUGCAACAGCAGCUGGGAGAGACGAGUGAGAUGUGUGACAUGAGCAACCCUGCAGGUACCAAGGUAAGCGUAGAAGAAGGGUGGGAGAUGUUCUAGGUGUGGAGCAGAAGUUCCAGUAGCCCAGGAGAGUCCUGUGGAGAUGCAGGCCUUACUCAUGCACCUGAUGAGCACCACAGAAAGUAUAUCUCCAGGUCUAGCCACGAAGGAGCCCAUAGUGGACUAGGCAGAGAGAGACCAUAAAGGAGCAGCAGGGACAAAGCAUUACAGACCAAUCACUGUCCCCAUUCCCUGUUCCUCUGUGUCCAUCAGGGGGACAAGGCAGAAGAUUUGGGCAGGAAGUUGAGGCUAAGAAGUAGGGGGUGGAUUGGAGGAAGGUGUUCUUAGCUUUGUUUCUCAUUAUGCUACUCUAUUUUUAACUGCAACAAAUUAAAUUAAUCUUCCCCAAGCAGCAUCUGCUUUGCCUGUGCAGCCAUCAGUGAGUGAUAUCCCUGCCUUUAUCUCAGCCCAGCGGCUGAGAUCUCAUCUUCUCCCUGCGCCUUGCUGUGCAGAGGGAACAAGAGAGCAGCUUGGUGGGCACCUGGCAGCCAGCCAAGGUCAACCCACCACGAAGGCUCAAAGUCUGCCUUUAGAAGCAAAGGAAAGAACAACCGACACGUUUUUUAUGGCUGUUCAUGCACGUCUCAAGAGUCCGCUGAGAACUACAGCAUCACCAGUGAGACUUCCAAAGGAGUGUCCAAUGGAAAACAAAACAUUGACAGCACGUAUGUGGAUGUCAAUUCUGCAAAGCUAUCUUAAAGUGAAAGUUUUAUGCGUUCUGUGUGAAUCAUUAUAUACGUAAUAUAUUUUAUAGUAUAGCGUAUUAUACAUAGCAGAUACAUCAUGCAUGUAUACUCUCUCCAGAAAUAUAUAUACAUGCAUACAAA